GAUGAACGCUGGCGGCGUGCCUAAUACAUGCCAGUCGAGCGAACAGACGAGGAUCUUGCUCCUCUGACGUUAGCGGCGGACGGGUGAGUAACACGUGGAUAACCUACCUAUAAGACUGGGAUAACUUCGGGAAACCGGAGCUAAUACCGGAUAAUAUAUUGAACCGCAUGGUUCAAUAGUGAAAGACGGUUUUGCUGUCACUUAUAGAUGGAUCCGCGCCGCAUUAGCUAGUUGGUAAGGUAACGGCUUACCAAGGCAACGAUGCGUAGCCGACCUGAGAGGGUGAUCGGCCACACUGGAACUGAGACACGGUCCAGACUCCUACGGGAGGCAGCAGUAGGGAAUCUUCCGCAAUGGGCGAAAGCCUGACGGAGCAACGCCGCGUGAGUGAUGAAGGUCUUCGGAUCGUAAAACUCUGUUAUUAGGGAAGAACAAAUGUGUAAGUAACUAUGCACGUCUUGACGGUACCUAAUCAGAAAGCCACGGCUAACUACGUG
rnacentral:rRNA from 1 species